rnacentral:rRNA from 1 species
UGGGGAAUAUUGCACAAUGGGCGAAAGCCUGAUGCAGCGACGCCGCGUGAGGGACGAAGGUCUUCGGAUUGUAAACCUCUUUCAGCAGGGACGAAGCGAAAGUGACUGUACCUGCAGAAGAAGCACCGGCUAACUACGUGCCAGCAGCCGCGGUAAUACGUAGGGUGCAAGCGUUGUCCGGAUUUAUUGGGCGUAAAGAGCUCGUAGGCGGUUCGUCACGUCGGAUGUGAAAACCUGGGGCUUAACCCCGGGCCUGCAUACGAUACGGGCGAACUAGAGUUCGGUAGGGGAGACCGGAAUUCCUGGUGUAGCGGUGAAAUGCGCAGAUAUCAGGAGGAACACCGGUGGCGAAGGCGGGUCUCUGGGCCGAUACUGACGCUGAGGAGCGAAAGCGUGGGGAGCAAAC